AGGGACUGUUAAGAUCUCUGACAACAGAACCUGUCAUUGUUUGAAGAGCAGAUUUCCACAGUGACCUGUACGCUUGGUGAUCCAGGCUUCUAUGAAAGGGAUUGUCCAAGAAGCAACAAUCCCCCAGCUUGUUACAAGAUACCGAAUCCAGGUCUCUGCCCUAUGCAGGAGGUCCUUGUUGUUUACCUGUUCGAGCCAGCUUGUUUGCCCGGAGGAAAGAAUUCAUUGAACAGCCACAGAUGACAUUCCAGAACAUCAGCCAACCACUUCCCAACAGGGUACCAUUGGGUCAUCACAAGGCCUGCCACCACCCCUGGCAGCGGGACUCCACAUACCUUCCCAUGGCAGAGGUCAGGUUUCAGGAGGUCAACAUGGGCAUUCAGGGCAAGAGCUUGUCUUAGUGAUCUUCGCUCUGGUUUCUUGAUAAAAGGCCAUUGGAAUUUUUGAGUCUCUGGAAAUCCAUGGGACUCUACUUUCUUUUUUAAAGGUGUUUUCUAUGCUUUGCAAUGACUUCUUUGGGUGAACUUCGGUCUAAAUAUUAACAGGAUGGUGUGUGUGUUUUGGGCGUGUGUGGGGGGAGUAAUUUCAAAUAUACUUCAGGGCCCAGAAGAGAAUUGUCACUUUGCAUGUCUUCCUUCCUUGUUGACAAAUCACGGUGCUCUUACUUCCUAUCUGGAAUCUGAGACUCUGCUGAGGCAGUGCGUUGAUCCCCAGGACAGUUAGUGCACCAGGUAGACGCUAAGCUUCCUCAUUUCCCCUCCCCUCAUCUGUUUCACAAACUGGACAACUCUGUUUUGAUCUGCCUUCCUAUAAGAGCUCAUCGGAGCACAAAUAGAUAAAUUAUUUAGAAGAGACCAUCAAAGCCGAGCCCAGGAAGAGGUUGGUGCCUCCUCGUGUGGUCACUGAGCCGAGAAGCUGGGUUGGGGCUCAGGUGAUAUGCAUGAGGUGCCGGUCCAGGUGGGUCCUCCUUGGGAUUCUCUUGACUGAGAGCAUCUUCCUGGAGCCCAGACACCGAGACGCCUGUGUUUGGGGCUAGGGAGUCCCUUG